GUGACUGCUAUUAGAGCAGGGGUUUUAUCUGGUUUGUUCGCUGAUGAAUUCUCAGUGUCCACAAUAGUACCCGCCCAAUAGUGGGCAUUCUUGGUGAGAUGGUGAAGCGAAGUGGGAUGACUGUUGAGGGACGUGUUGAGGCAUAUCAUACAUGUUGAUAUGCCUCUCUUUUGAGAGCCAGGGCUGAUUCAUCACCCAGAAAGCAUUUGGCUCAGUACUGGCCACCUUCCUGAUGAAUUGUACAUGAUGGAGCCUUCAGGCUACCACAGCUGCUGAGGGUCAUUCAUCUGGUGGAAUUUGCCUUGUUGCAACUGCGAGCCAGCUGGACCGAAAAUGAAGUCCAGGGCUGUGUGAAUUCCUGUGAAGUCUACUCCCGCUCACCCAGGAUAUCCGUUGGCUGCUUUACUGAGGCUGUUGUAACUGUGCUGUGCCAAAUCUCAGGCCCUACCACAGCUGGACGAAGGUCUUUGUGGUACUUCCCUUCCUCAGAUGGCAAAAGGGAACACACGGAAUGAGGAGUACGUGACUGGCUUAGCUUGGGUCAUUCGCCUGCUCCUCAGACUGUGUCCAGAAGUAACUAACUCCUCCAAGGGAAAGAAUAUUCAGUAACCAAAGGAAAUAGAAUGAAUGCAAAGCAGUCCAAACAACCAAUGUUCACUCCCAUCUUUCACAGAGAUUCUACUUUUGAGCUUGAGAAGGCUCACCACAUGGCUGUCUAAUGAGGAAAUUGCCACAGGGAUGUCAGUGGCAGUCACACCCCUUUGCCACUGCAGGACCAUCUAUGGAAGGAUCAAUUUUUUUUAGCAAAAGUUAGUGUAUUGCGGUGGUUCUCAAAGUGUUGUUCUUGAGCAGCAUCUGCAUCACCCGGGAACUUAUUAGAAAUGAAAAUUCUGGAGAUCCUCCCCAGACCUCCUGAAUCAAAACUGCAAGUAAGCCAAGGAGCUUGUGGCCUUUCUCUCACCCUUAACACCUCAAGAAAUCAGAUUGGACACCUGAAUCAGCUAAGCUCAUAAGGAGACACCACUCGGGAGCCUUCUAAAUGCUGUCUUUGGGGUCCAUGCUGAAGGAGAGCUUCAGAGGCAAAACAUUUUACAGAAGAGGCCUUUUGGAAUUUUGCUCAGUCUCCUACUUUAGAUGGGAUUCAAGGAGCCAGACCUUGAUGUGACUUUUUCCCUCCAGGUAUCUUUAUGAUGUUGAGGUUUCAUCACAUGUUGGUGGUUUCCUUUAAUCUGUCUGGGGAUUUAGGAGGGGUUGGAAACCCCAGCCGAGCUACUUUUAGGAACAAACGUACAAUAUAAUAAC